AGCAGCAGCCACGGUAAUACGGAGGAUCCGAGCGUUAUCCGGAAUUAUUGGGUUUAAAGGGUGCGUAGGCGGAUAGAUAAGUCAGUGGUGAAAGACGGUGGCUCAACCAUCGCAGUGCCGUUGAUACUGUUUAUCUUGAAUAUGGAUGAGGUAGGCGGAAUGUGGCAAGUAGCGGUGAAAUGCAUAGAUAUGCCACAGAACACCGAUUGCGAAGGCAGCUUACCAAGGCAAAAUUGACGCUGAGGCACGAAAGCGUGGGGAUCGAACAGGAUUAGAUACCCCCGUAGUCCCUGUCUCUUAUAC
rnacentral:rRNA from 1 species